rnacentral:rRNA from 1 species
UACGAAGGGUGCAAACGUUGCUCGGAAUUAUUGGGCGUAAAGCGCGUGUAGGCGGCAAUGCAAGUCGGGCGUGAAAUCCCACGGCUCAACCGUGGAAGUGCACUCGAAACUGCAUAGCUAGAGUCCUGGAGAGGAAGGUGGAAUGCUUGGUGUAGAGGUGAAAUUCGUAGAUAUCAAGCGGAACACCGGUGGCGAAGGCGGCCUUCUGGACAGUGACUGACGCUGAGACGCGAAAGCGUGGGGAGCAAACAGG